CAAGAGCGUAUGUAAAAGUUGUUGCAGUUAAAAAGCUCGUAGCUGAACCUUGGGUUUGGUUGGCCGGUCCGCUUUUUUGCGAGUACUGGAUUCAACCGAGCCUUUCCUUCUGGCUAACCAGUCGUUUCGGCGGCUGGCGAACCAGGAUUUUUACUUUGAGAAAAUUAGAGUGUUCAAAGCAGGCAUUAGCUUGAAUAUAUUAGCAUGGAAUAAUAGAAUAGGACGUUAUGGUUCUAUUUUGUUGGUUUCUAGGACCAUCGUAAUGAUUAAUAGGGACGGUCGGGGGCAUCAGUAUUCAGUUGUCAGAGGUGAAAUUCUUGGAUUUACUGAAGACCAACUACUGCGAAAGCAUUUGCCAAGGACGUUUUCAUUAA
rnacentral:rRNA from 1 species